GGCGAGGGCAGGGCAGGCGGCCUCCGGGCCUCAGUUUCUGACCAAGCACAGGAGGGAGGCCCGAGGCCUUUCCCUGGCUGUGGCCUGAGGGCAGGGCGGGGGUGGCCCUGGGGCCAAGGAGCUUGAGUCCUGGGCAGGAAGUGCAGGUGGGGCGGCCAGGGGAGGGGAGUGGCUGCAGGCCUGAAGUUCAGCCCCCGAGUGGAGCUGUCUGGCAGGCAACACCAGCACACACGGAGGCCCCCACCCCGGAGGCUGGAGAGAGGGAGCAGGUGCUGAAUGUGGGCAGCAGGCAGCCUGCUGCGGACUGGGGGAAGAAAUACCGCGCAGAAGGCAGAGCCGAGUUCAGUGUAAGUGUGUAUACGAGUGAAUCGGGGAAAAUAACACAGCUCCUAAGCUCCUAGGAAAGUGCUCCCUGGCUCAGGGAGAAGCAGGAGACCCAGCCAAGUAUUUUCCUGCCUGGAAAUGGACAGCACUCUUGAUCUGAGGAGAGAAGGUGGGGAGCCCCUGCCCAGGCCUCGCACAAAGGCUGCUACAUCUUCUCUGUUUCCAUGGGGGCCCAGAGCCUCGCUGGCCACACACCCCUGGAGCUGACAUCUUGAGCUACACAGAGUCAACAGGAUCGCCUUGAAUCACUUCCCCACCUCACUCUGUACACCGAAGUAGAUGCCUGAAUCAGAGAAGACGCAUUUCUAAUGCAAACCAGAGGAGCGCUCAAGGGGGACCGUGGCUGAGUUUUAAGUCUUCUCCGUGGAGACAAAGUUCGUCAUGACGUGGCACAGCCUCAGUGCUGCCAGAGGAAAGCAGGCAAGUUGGAAUCUGCAAUCGCUGAUAACGUCUAUUCAUUUAAAAACAGGUGAAGAGGGCCCAGGGAUUUAGCUCAGUGGUUUUGUUGCCUGCUGCACAAGCGCAAGGACCUGAGUUCAAUCCCCAGUACCAAAAAAAAGAAAAUAAAUAAAUAAAAACAGGUGAAAAGAAAAUGUGGCCUAUCAACAAGUGAAAGACUAAUGACAAAUCAAAGAUUUUAUACAUUAAUCCUUAAAACUACUAAAAAAAUCAACAGAAAUGGACAAUAGUUAAGAGCAUAGUUUCAAUAAAUAAAUAAUAAAUGUUUAUGGCAAAUAGGCCAUAAGCGUGUAUACAAGG
ensembl:lncRNA